rnacentral:rRNA from 1 species
AUUGAACGCUGGCGGCAGGCCUAACACAUGCAAGUCGAGCGAGCGGCGGACGGGUGAGUAAUGUCUGGGAAACUGCCUGAUGGAGGGGGAUAACUACUGGAAACGGUAGCUAAUACCGCAUACCAUCAGAUGUUCCCAGAUGGGAUUAGCUGGUAGGUGGGGUAACGUCUCACCUAGGCGACGAUCCCUAGCUGGUCUGAGAGAAUGACCAGCCACACUGGAAUUGAGCCACGGUCCAGACUCCUACGGAAGGCAGCAGUGGGGAAUAUUGCACAAUGGGCGAAAGCCUGAGACAGACAUGCGGCGUGGAGGAAGAAGGCCUCCGGGUUGUAAAGCACGUUCAGCGGGGCGGCGUUACCCGCAGAAGAAGCAACGGCUAACUCCGUGCCAGCCGCCGCGGUAAUUC